UUUUCCUGAUUUUACAAGGCUUACAAUUUUGUCAAUUUCAAGAAUAAGAAAGUUAGAGAAAGAACAACCAGAAACUGUUGAAAUUGAAGGAUUUUGGUAAACAGAUACGAAAAAUAACACUCAACAAUAAAAUAUUAUUGAAAUUAUUGUCAGAACAUGCAACAGAACAAAUGAAUGAGAUUAGAAUCUCCAUAUGACAAAGGUUUCAAAGGAGAGAUUUACACUAAUAAACUUUAUUUGGUAACAAAAGUUUGCAAUGUUUCAGAACAAUUUGUAGAACACGAUUAUUUGGGUGGCCAAGCCUAUUGUGCUAUACAUAAACACUGAUAUCUACAAAAUUCUUCUUGUUUUGUUAGAACUGUCACUAUUUUCCUUAUUAUCACUAUUGCCCUUACCUCUAAUGGGAAUUAUUUCAAUUGGAUGUUAACAUUACUUUUUAUUGGAUGUCCUGCAUCGGCUAGAGAUAAGUCCAACUUACAAUAUAUAAGUCUAUUGUUCUAUCCUUUAUUGGGUUGCUAUCAGACCACCCAUUAAUGUCCAGUCUCAUACUCGAGAUAUAUAUAUCUCAGUAUGAAGGAAGUAUGUUGGAAGUUCCGAAUCGACUAAAGCUCAACAAGGC